rnacentral:rRNA from 1 species
GACAGAGGGUGCAAACGUUGUUCGGAAUUACUGGGCGUAAAGCGCGUGUAGGCGGCUAAGCAAGUCGGGCGUGAAAUCCCACCGCUCAACGGUGGAAGUGCACCCGAAACUGCAUAGCUAGAGUCCUGGAGAGGAAGGUGGAAUGCUUGGUGUAGAGGUGAAAUUCGCAGAUAUCAGGAGGAACACCAAUGGCGAAGGCAGCUCACUGGGACGGUACUGACGCUGAGACGCGAAAGCGUGGGGAGCAAACAGG